UAAGUAACGAUAGUUUUACCUAAAUGUUUAAUGGUAAUGGUAGGUGCCUAGGUGGUGGUGAAAGCACCCUAUGAAAAUUAUAGUUAGUCGUGUUUUGAAAGAAAAUCAUGUAUUUUACUUUCCUCGUAUUCGAAAUGAAAAGUAAAGUGUUUAACUUGGGUGAAAGGCAUCAUUUCAGCCUCGGACUAUUACCUCGGCAGAAAUGAAUGCCUUUCAUCCCUUGGUUAACAAUCUGCUAUUGUCACCUAAACGUUGCGCUUUAAAAAGUGUAUUGUUUCAGUUGUUUGAUAAACAUACAGUUACUAAGUUAGGUUGGGAAUACAAACGAACUACUUAUUGUGUUGAGUUCCCAAUUUUAUUGAUCAUUCGGUCAAAUGAAAUAAUGCGAACAAUUGCGAUUUGGUUUAAUUGGUUUGGCUUUUGGUUUAAUUAGUUGCGAAAUGACAUUCGGAAAAAUAUUUUUAGGUCAAUUGCUCCGACGUAUAUGACAAAUAAUAAGUAUACAUACACACAUGGAAUGUUUCAGACGACUACAUUCACAAGGAGCAUAAAUUUGAGGCGACAACUGGAAAACCGACGACGACUACGGAAAAACUAUAUAAGCUCCAAAAGAAGACGAAGCCGAAACCGUGGUAUCAACCGUCUGUAUUAGAGACGAUAGGCAACGCACUCUGGACUGGAGUAAAAGAUACUGUUAGUUGGCUGGGCGGUAUUUUAUCGGCGGCCUUCUCGUGGCUGUGGGGGUAAAACAACGAGGCGUAAACUACAAGACUCGAGUCGCGACUUCUGAGUCUAGAAGCCUCGAACCUUAAAGCCCGGACCAUAUAUGCCUCAACUUAAUAAGUUCGCGUUGCUGCUUACGAGCACAGAAACCUCGAGUCUUUAAGCCUCAAGCUUUAAAGCCUCCUAAGCUUUGAAGGUUUAACUCUAUAAGGUUUGUAGCGUUUAAGUCUUAAAACCUUUUAACAAAUUAGAUUAAUCUAUGCCAUAUUUGAUAGUUAUACAGGGUGCCCGUGAGGAACCCGAGAGAUUUUAACAGCAUAAUUCUGAGGUCGUUAGAAGUAAAAAUACCGGCCAAGUGCAAAUCGGACUCGCCCACUGAGGGUUCCGUACUUUUUAGUAGGUAUUUGUUGUUGUAGCGGCAACAGAAAUACCAUCCUCUGUGAAAAUUUCAGCUAUUAAAAUAUUAAAUUUAAAUUUAUUUCGGUUCAUGAGAUACAGCCUGGUGACGUGACGGACGGACGAACAGCGGAGUCUUAGUAAUAGAGUCACGUUUUUACCCUUUGGGUACGGAACCCUAAAAACAGAAUAAAAUAAAGAUUUAAGUAGGGCUCCCUACAACAAACGUGAUUUUUGACCGAAGUUAAGCAACGUCGGGCGGGGUCAGUACUUGGAUGGGUGACCGUUUUUAUAGAUAAUGGUACGGAACCCUUCGUUUGCCAGUCCGACUCGCACUUGGCCGGUUUUUUAAAUUUAAUUGUGACCGUAACCGAUACGUCCUUACCAAAGAGUUUGUAUGUUCAAAAACUAUAUUUUUAUUUUGCCAUUAGAUUUGAAUUUAUUACGUACCUAUAAAAAGUAUUAUUACAAGAUAUAAAGUAAAUAUUUAUUAGUUAUUAUAUAAAUAAAACGUCAUAUAAUACGUAAUUUCGCUUAAAUAUUAUUAUUUGGUUGAAUGGAAUUAUCAUCGCCACGUUGGCUGCUGUUUACAGAAAAAAAUAAAAAUUAAAAGGUAAAACCGGCGCCCGCCAUUUUCACUUAAAAUUUUGUUGUGUCAAAAUAAUUAACUUAAAUUGCAACUGUAAGAGUGUUUUGUUUUGUAUGAAUUGAGUUAAUGUGAUUAAUUUGGGCAAUGUAAAUCAACACUGAAAGUAGUUUAUAGUGCUGAAUAAUGUACGAUAUCAUUCAAGUUAAAGGCAUAACUCGUAACUGCUAGUAACUGUAAGUGUAAUAUUGUACAUAACCAAUAUUUGUUUUAUUGUGAUUUUUUUGCAAAUGUAUUAAAAAACGUCGUUCAAUGUACGUGUGGAAGUGUUAUUAUUUACUUUUCCUGUGACAUCUCGGGACUUGUAAAUAAUAACACACUUUCCACACUUGUAUUGAAAUGUACUAUAUCAUACGAAGGUUCAAAGAAUGCUUACAUUGAAUGUAUCGCUCACAUUGUAAACAAGAGACGUGAAAUAAUAUCUGUACCUAUUGUAUUACAUUACUGAUUACACAC